UACGUAGGUGACAAGCGUUGUCCGGAUUUACUGGGCGUAAAGAGCGCGCAGGCGGUCGUUCAAGUCGAGUGUGAAAGCCCCCGGCUCAACUGGGGAGGGUCAUUCGAUACUGAUCGACUCGAAGGCAGGAGAGGGUAGUGGAAUUCCCGGUGUAGUGGUGAAAUGCGUAGAUAUCGGGAGGAACAACAGUGGCGAAGGCGACUACCUGGCCUGUUCUUGACGCUGAGGCGCGAAAGCUAGGGGAGCAAACGGG
rnacentral:rRNA from 1 species